rnacentral:rRNA from 1 species
AGCGCAGGCGGAACAUUAAGCGGAUCUUAAAAGUGCGGGGCUCAACCCCGUGAUGGGGUCCGAACUGAGGUUCUUGAGUGCAGGAGAGGAAAGCGGAAUUCCCAGUGUAGCGGUGAAAUGCGUAGAUAUUGGGAAGAACACCAGUGGCGAAGGCGGCUUUCUGGACUGUAACUGACGCUGAGGCUCGAAAGCCAGGGUAGCAACG